rnacentral:rRNA from 1 species
UACGGGGGGGGCAAGCGUUGUUCGGAAUUACUGGGCGUAAAGGGCGCGUAGGCGGUUCGAUAAGUCCCGUGUGAAAGCCCCCGGCUCAACUGGGGAACUGCACGGGAAACUGACGGACUUGAGUUCGGGAGAGGGAAGCGGAAUUCCGGGUGUAGCGGUGAAAUGCGUAGAUAUCCGGAGGAACACCGGUGGCGAAGGCGGCUUCCUGGACCGACACUGACGCUGAGGCGCGAAAGCUAGGGGAGCAAACGGG